rnacentral:snRNA from 1 species
GGAUGUGAGGGCGAUCUGGCUGCGACAUCUGUCACCCCAUUGAUCGCCAGGGUUGAUUUGGCUGAUCUGGCUGGCUAGGCAGGUGUCCCCUUCCUCCCUCACCGCUCCAUGUGUGUCCCUCCCGAAGCUGCGCACUCGGUGGAAGAGGAUGACCUUCCCCGAUAGAGGAGAGGACCGUUCUUCGGUCAAGGGUAUACGAGUAGCUGCGCUCCCCUGCUAGAACCUCCAAACAAGCUCUCAAGGUUCAGUAAGGUAUUUUGUAACGUAUGCAAUUUUACUAUAAAAUUUAUAUGUAAAGGUACAGGAACUCUAAUAACUAAAACAAAAUUUUUUUUUAUUU